rnacentral:rRNA from 1 species
UGAAUAACGUAAAUAAGGGAAUUCGGCAAAUUAGAUCCGUAACUUCGGGAAAAGGAUUGGCUCUGAGGAUUGAGUCUCACACCAAAGGGAUGGAACUUAGAACUGAUUUGGUAUUGGUCGCAAGACUGAGACCCGAUCGGAGAAGAGGAAAGCCCCUGCGGUUAGGACAAUUAACAAUCGACUCAGAACUGAAGCGGACAAGGGGAAUCCGACUGUUUAAUAAAAACAUAGCUUUGUGAUGGCCUCAAAAGGUGUUGACACAAAGUGAUUUCUGCCCAGUGCUUUGAAUGUGAAUGUGAAGUAAUUUAUAGAAGCUCAGGUAAACGGCGGGAGUAACUAUGACUCUCUUAAGGUAGCCAAAUGCCUCGUCAUCUAAUUAGUGACGCGCAUGAAUGGAUUAAUGAGAUUCCCACUGUCCCUAUUUACCAUCUAGCGAACCCACAGCCAAGGGAACGGGCUUGGAAUAAUCAGCGGGGAAAGAAGACCCUGUUGAGCUUGACUCUAGUCCGACUUUGUGAAAUGACUUUCGAGAUAUAGCCUAAGUGGGAGCUAACGCGCCGCUGUAAAACCACUGCUCGCUUAGCCAUUUUACUUACUCCAUGAAGAAGUGACCAAUUUAUUGGUUCUUAGAUUUAAGUCCUGACUUGCUUCAGGACGAGCUUUGUGGAGGACACAGUCAGGUGGGGAGUUUGACUGGGGCGGUACAUCUGUUAAACAAUAACGCAGGUGUCCUACGGUGAGCUCAAAGAGAACAGAAAUCUCUUGUAGACCAAAAGGGGAAAAGCUCACUUGAUUUUGAUUUUCAGUACUAAUACAAACCGCGAAAGCGUGGCCUAUCGAUCCUUUAACUUUACAAGUUUUAAGCUAGAGGUGUCAGGAAAGUUACCACAGGGAUAACUGGCUUGUGGCAGCCAAGCGCCCAUAGCGACGUUGCUUUUUGAUCCUUCGAUGUCGGCUCUUCCUAUCAUUGUGAUGUACAAGUCACAACGUGUUGGAUUGUUCACCCGCUAACAGGGAACGUGAGCUGGGUUUAGACCGUCGUGAGACAGGUUGGUUUUACCCUACUGAUGAAUCGAUGUUGCGACAGUAAUCUUACUUAGUACGAGAGGAACCGUUAGAUCAGAUAAUUGGUUAAUACGGUUAGCUGAAAAGCUAAUGCCGUGAAGCUACCAUCUGUUGGAUUAUGACUGAAAGCCUCUAAGUCAGAAACCAUGCUGGAAAGCAACGUCCAAUCAAUAAUAAAUGAAAAAGAAUAAGGGAAACCUUUAGUUCAGUAAGGGAGCGGCGAAACUCGAAAGAGCACAGCCUAACCUCCAAUAAAUUUAAAUUAUUAUUGU